rnacentral:piRNA from 1 species
CCACACAUGAUGGUUCUGCGGGCUGUG